AUUUAAUAAUAAUUUUAUUAUUAUUAGCAGUAGCAGUACAGAUAAGUAAUUAGACGUCAUCAAAGUCAUUGAAGUCAUAAAAUAGUGUUCUAGCAACCAAUAAAUUCCACUUUCACUUAGAAGUUAAUCGAAUGUUUUUACAUACAAUAUUGUGAGUUGUGAAAUGCUGUCAAAACAGCCAACACCUAUUUCUAAAAUAAUUCUCAAAUGCAGUGUCAAUCAUGAAUUGAAAGACUCAUUGUAAGAGACUAAGAAGCUAAAACAAAAGAAUGUCUCAAACACUCAGCACAAAAGGGUGAUAUGGUCAGAAAAGAGGAUCCUGCUAGGUCAAGAUAGUGCUUUUCUGAGGCCAACUUCCUUAUCCUGGGUAACCUUCUGAGACAUCUUUUGGUGUCCGUGGUUCUGGCAGUUGCGGUAGGAAAGGUAUUAGCAAUCUGCCACCCCAAUUCCUCCCUCCCCUCAAGAAGGUUGUGGGACACAGGCUGCACAUAUUACCAUACAAAGCAGGAACUGGAGGUGGGGACUAGCUGUAAUUAGUAUACAAAGUGAGAACUGGAGUUGGGUCCAGCUUAUAAAUAGUGCGACUCAGAAGGGCUUUGCGUGCACCCACCACCAUCGCAGACAGAACAGGAACUGGACCAGAGACGUCGCUGGAACCCAGGGUGGCUGUCAUCUAACUUCUACAGCAACAAGUCCAGAUUACGGAAACACUGCUGAGAUGGGGAAAAUCAUCAUUUAUGAGCACACCAACUUCCAGGGGUACUCCAAAGAACUCACCAGAGACGUUGCCAAUCUGAAAGAUGUAGAUUGGAAUGACUGUAUCUCCUCAGUGAAAGUAAUUGGACAGCCUUGGGUGGCUUAUGAGCACAUGAACUACACAGGCCGGUUACUGGUAUUUGAGGAGGGAGAGCAUAGCUUUGUUGGUGAAGAGAUGAAUGACAAGAUCACUUCUCUGGUGUUGAUUACUGAAAAUUUACACAAUCCACAGAUCACUAUCUAUGAACAUGACCAAUAUCAAGGGAAGAGCAGGGUGAUAACAGAAGCAACCAAUUUGGCUAGGGGUCAUUACAAUGACAUGGUGUCUUCUCAUAAAGUCCAGCGAGGUGUCUGGCUCUUGUGUGAACAUAGCGAUGGAAGUGGUUUUUGCUACAUUGCACGAGAGCAUGAACACCUUCCAAGUUACAGAGCAAUCAAUUUCAAUGACAAGCUUUCAUUUCUGCGUCCCCUUCUCCCUGGAAGGUGUGGUUACUGAUGGACUGCAAAUUCUGAAGUCCUAAGGGUAGAUGUAGCCCUAGCAAGAAGGAUGGAACCCAGAUCUCUCUGCUUUUUUUUAUUUCCCCUUGUGCCAUAGAAAUACUGAAUGGGAGAGCUCUCUUUUAUGCUGUGCUGCAGAUGUGUGUUUCUCAAUCCUGUCUUGCACUGUUCUCCUUCCCCAUGAUGCCAAUGAAUGUAAGAACUAUCAUACUUAGUCAUAUGAAAAAAAACCUCUAUGAUAAGAGAUGUGCCAGUGGUGUGUAACCUAUUAAACCUGUAACUAGCAUUCCAAAGUACUAAACCAUGUAAUGUGAAAGUGUUGCAUGUUGCUUCUGUUGUUAUAUGCAUAAACAUAUAUAUAGUGUAUAACCAGAAUUGCUGACUUUAUAUUCUUCUUUACAAUGCUCUUGCUUCACAAUGACCUCUGCAAUUUUUUCUUCUAUUCCAUUUUGCAUUGUUACCAAUAAAGAAGAUAUUGCAGGCA